rnacentral:miRNA from 1 species
GAAGAAUGAAUACUGGUGCUCUGUAGGAUGAGGUAGUAGAUUGUAUAGUUGUAGGUCAUAACCCAUCUUGGAGAUAACUAUACAGUCUACUGUCUUUCCCACGGUGGUACACUUCCUCUCUGA